GACACAUACAAAAGGUUCUGGAGCAUGAGCAAGACAGCAGAGAUGUUUUCUCCUGAAAGAUGAAGCCCACACUUUCAAACAGUUCAAAGGUCACACAAGAGAUGAAAACUGCUCAAAGGUCAAGGAUUAAUUAUAAAAUGUUUAGGAAGAAAAAAAAACCAAGCAAGUAAGUGCACCUCCAAAGCCAUCCAAAACUGAUAAGCAGAGAGAUGAAAAGGACAGGACUGCCAAGAAAGGAAGCAACUCUAACAGCUACCCCCAGAUGAAGACAUCAAGGCUGCAAUCACACCUUUGGGUAUCUGUGGAUGUAAAAGGCUCACCGUGCUCUGAAGGCUUAGACUACCACUAACAACUACCAAACUGGGAUGCUCUAGACCGCUCCAAAAUUUCCAGUGUGACAAAAAAAAAAAAAAGGGUAACACAUAAGAAGGAAAGCCAGCAACAUUUGUCAAGAAUGUUUCUUCCUGAAACUAUUCAAAUUAAAUUAAGGUUUUCUUUUCUUUU